rnacentral:rRNA from 1 species
GAUGAACGCUGGCGGCGUGCCUAAUACAUGCAAGUCGAGCGAACAGACGAGGAGGUGGCUCCUCGGACGUUAGCGGCGGACGAGUCAUGAACACGUGGAUAACCUACCUAGAAGACUCCGAGAACUCCGGGAAACAGGAGCGAAUACCGGAUGAUAUAUUUAAGUGCAUGGUUCAAUAGUGAAAGACGGGUUUGCUGUCACUGAUAGAUCGAUCCGCGCCGCAUUAGCUAGUUGACCAGGUAACGGCUUACCAAGGCAACGAUGGGUAGCCGACCUGAGAGGGGGAUAGGCGACCCGGGAACGGAGACAGGGUCAAGACUCCUGAGGGAGGGCGCAGUAGGGAAUCGGCCGCAAUGGGGGAGAGCCUGACGGAGCAACGCGGAGUGAGUGAUGAAGGUGUUGGGUUCGUAAAACUCUGUUAUUAGGGAAGAACAAAUGUGUAAGUAAAUAUGCAGGAAUUGACGGUACCUAAUGAGAAAGCCACGGCUAACUACGUG